rnacentral:rRNA from 1 species
AUUGAACGCUGGCGGCAUGCUUUACACAUGCAAGUCGAACGGCAGCGCGGGCUUCGGCCUGGCGGCGAGUGGCGAACGGGUGUGUAAUGCAUCGGAACGUGCCCAGUAGUGGGGGAUAGCCCGGCGAAAGCCGGAUUAAUACCGCAUACGACCUGAGGGUGAAAGCGGGGGACCGUAAGGCCUCGCGCUAUUGGAGCGGUCGUUGUCGGAUUGGCUAGUUGGUGGGGUAAAGACUUACCAAGGCGACGAUCCGUAGCUGGUCUGAGAGGACGACUGGCCACGCUGGGACUGAAACACGGCCCAGACUCCUACGGGAGGCAGCAGUGGGGUAUUUUGGACAGUGGGGGCAACCCUGGUCCAGCCAUGCCGCGUGCGGGAAGAAGGCCUUCGGGUUGUAAACCGCUUUUGUUCGGGAAGAAAUCCUCUGGGCUAAUACCCCGGGGGGAUGACGGUACCGGAAGAAUAAGCACCGGCUAACUACGUG